rnacentral:rRNA from 1 species
GAACUAGACCUAGCCCCAAAAUACACCCACCCAAUUACCUCCGCACCUUAAAUGAAACAUCUACUAGUUCUAGUAUAUGUGAUAGAAAAAUCACUCAGGGAGCCAUAGACAAAGUACCGCAAGGGAAAGAUGAAAGACCACCUAAAAGUAUAUAAUAGCAGAGAUCACCCCUCCUACCUUUUGCAUAAUGAACUAACUAGUAAUAUUUGACAAAGAGAACUGAAGCCAAUACCCCCGAAACCAGACGAGCUACUUGUGAACAAUUGCUAGAAUGAACUCAUCUAUGUGGCAAAAUAGUGAGAUGAUUUGCAAGUAGAGGUGAAAAGCCUACCGAGCCUGGAGAUAGCUGGUUGUCCGAAAAAAGAAUUUUAGUUCCACCUAAAGCAACGCCAAAAACCCCCUACCCAAUUUUAAUGCAGGCUUUAGAGUCAUUCAAUAGGGGUACAGCUCUAUUGAAAAAGGAUACAACCUUCUAAGGAGAGUAAAAAUUAGUAUCAACAUAGUUGGCCUAAAAGCAGCCACCAAUUAAGAAAGCGUUAAAGCUCAACUCUACAAACCCUACUAAUUCCAAUAAUUAUACUGAACUCCCUCCCCACCUAUCGGACUACUCUAUUUAUAUAUAGAAGAAAUAAUGUUAGCAUGAGUAACAAGAAAAAUUUUCUCCGCGCAUGAGCUUAUAUCAGAACGGAUGCCCACUGAUAAUUAACGGUCUAAUACCUACAAGCAGCACAUAAACCCAAUAUUACCCAGACCGUUAACCCAACACAGGAAUGCGACUCGGAAAGAUUAACAGAAGCAGAAGGAACUCGGCAAACACGAACCCCGCCUGUUUACCAAAAACAUCACCUCUAGCAUAAUAAGUAUUAGAGGCACUGCCUGCCCAGUGACAUUAGUUAAACGGCCGCGGUACUCUGACCGUGCAAAGGUAGCAUAAUCAUUUGUUCUCUAAUUAAGGACUUGUAUGAACGGCUAGACGAGGGUUCAACUGUCUCCUGCCUCCAAUCAGUGAAAUUGACCUUCCCGUGAAGAGGCGGGAAUGACUAUAUAAGACGAGAAGACCCUAUGGAGCUUCAAUUUAACUGCCUACGACUCUUAACCCAAUCCAACAGGAACACAACAAGGUCCACUAGACAGAAAAUUUUGGUUGGGGUGACCUCGGAGCACAAAGUAACCUCCGAAUGAUAAUCCACCAUGAUAGCACUAAUCUAAGUCUCGAUCUAAUUGACCCAAUAUUAUUGAUCAAUGGAACAAGUUACCCUAGGGAUAACAGCGCAAUCCUAUUCUAGAGUUCAUAUCGACAAUAGGGUUUACGACCUCGAUGUUGGAUCAGGACAUCCUAAUGGUGCAGAAGCUAUUAAAGGUUCGUUUGUUCAACGAUUAAAGUCCUACGUGAUCUGAGUUCAGACCGGAGUAAUCCAGGUCGGUUUCUAUCUAUACACUAGCUUCUCCCAGUACGAAAGGACAAGAGAAGCAGAGCCAACUCUUGAAGAGAGCCCUAAUCUGUAUAAAUGAGAUAAUCUUAAUUUAGAUAAAUCAACUCACACAGCCCUAGACCAGGGCAU